rnacentral:rRNA from 1 species
UUAUUGCUCUUGAACGAGGAAUCCCUAGUAAGCGCAAGUCAUCAGCUUGUGCUGAUUACGUCCCUGCCCUUUGUACACACCGCCCGUCGCUACUACCGAUUGAAUGGCUUAGUGAGGCCUUCGGAUUGGAUUCGGAGACUGGAAACAGACUCUGUUUCUGAAAAGUUGGUCAACCUUGGUCAUUUAGAGGAAGUAAAAGUCGUAACAAGGUUUCCGUAGGUGAACCUGCGGAAGGAUCAUUACCAAUCUUUAGUGGGCCUUGGCUUGUCCAUGGUCUCACGAAACCUUUUAUUUAAAACCCACUCAUAUAAUAAGAUAACCUGUAUAUUUAUGAUAUAAAUAAAAAGAUCACUUUCAACAACGGAUCUCUUGGCUCUCGCAUCGAUGAAGAACGUAGCGAAGUGCGAUAAGUAAUGUGAAUUGCAGAAUCCGUGAAUCAUCAAAUUUUUGAACGCAAAUUGCACUCUCUGGUAUUCCGGAGAGUAUGCCUGUUUGAGGGUCUGUUUAAAUUAAAUCGAUGUGUUGCUUUUGGUGACAUCUCGGAGAUGGGUCAUCUUAGGAUUUUAAGAGACCUAAAAUUGAUAUUUCUCUGCGCAUUUUAGACGUAUAAAAUAUUAUUUGUCUGAUAUGUCGGGAUUUUUUUUAUUAGGUAUGACCAUUUUAUAUGGUUUCGUAUCUAUAUAAUUUCAUUUUUUGACCUCAAAUCAGGUAGGAAUACCCGCUGAACUUAAGCAUAUCAAUAAGCGGAGGA